AACCUGCGGGCUAGGUGGGUGGCUCGCCAGCCGGGACGAAGGGAAAUGAGGACCGCCGCUCCGGGGCGCGAGUAGGCGCGUGGAGUCCAGGGGCUCAGCCGCCGCGCCUCCUCCUCCUGCAGCUGGAGACUGCAACAGCGGCGGGCGCACCGGCAGCAGCGACGACCCUGAGCGCAGGUGGCAGUGUAGAAGCCAAACCGGGAGCUUCUAGAAGUGGUUUCUGAAAGAGUCAAAUGUACAUGAGUAAGCAAGCACAGGAAUCUGAAAAACCACAGGCCCACUAAUUUGCCUGCUUGUCUAAAAUAAGGAGUUAUGUGCUGAUGAGAGACAUGUUUGUAAUGUUAUUCAUUGUGACACAGUUCAAAAGAAUUUGCCUUUGAUUCUCAUUAAAAUGUAAAGUUUUGCGUAUUAA